rnacentral:rRNA from 1 species
AUCAUGCAAGUCGAACGAACUUCCGUUAAUUGAUUAUGAGGUGCUUGCACUGAAUGAGAUUUUAACACGAAGUGAGUGGCGGACGGGUGAGUAACACGUGGGUAACCUGCCCAGAAGCAGGGGAUAACACCUGGAAACAGAUGCUAAUACCGUAUAACAGAGAAAACCGCCUGGUUUUCUUUUAAAAGAUGGCUCUGCUAUCACUUCUGGAUGGACCCGCGGCGCAUUAGCUAGUUGGUGAGGUAACGGCUCACCAAGGCGAUGAUGCGUAGCCGACCUGAGAGGGUAAUCGGCCACAUUGGGACUGAGACACGGCCCAGACUCCUACGGGAGGCAGCAGUAGGGAAUCUUCCACAAUGGACGCAAGUCUGAUGGAGCAACGCCGCGUGAGUGAAGAAGGGUUUCGGCUCGUAAAGCUCUGUUGUUAAAGAAGAACGUGGGUGAGAGUAACUGUUCACCCAGUGACGGUAUUUAACCAGAAAGCCACGGCUAACUACGUGCCAGCAGCCGCGGUAAUACGUAGGUGGCAAGCGUUAUCCGGAUUUAUUGGGCGUAAAGCG